rnacentral:rRNA from 1 species
CAGUAGCCGCGGUAAGACAGAGGAUGCAAGCGUUAUCCGGAAUGAUUGGGCGUAAAGCGUGCGCAGGUGGUUCGUUAAGUCCGAUGUGAAAGCCCUGGGCUCAACCUGGGAAUUGCAUUGGAUACUGGCGAGCUAGAGUGCGGUAGAGGGUAGUGGAAUUCCCGGUGUAGCAGUGAAAUGCGUAGAGAUCGGGAGGAACAUCUGUGGCGAAGGCGACUGCCUGGACCAGCACUGACACUGAGGUGCGAAAGCGUGGGGAGCAAACAGGAUUAGAUACCCCUGUAGUCCCUGUCUCUUAUAC